rnacentral:rRNA from 1 species
AUGCAAGUCGAGCGCAGUCCUUCGGGACCGAGCGGCGGACGGGUUAGUAACGCGUGGGAACAUACCCUUUUCUACGGAAUAGCCUCGGGAAACUGAGAGUAAUACCGUAUACGCCCUUCGGGGGAAAGAUUUAUCGGUUAAGGAUUGGCCCGCGUUAUAUUAAAUAGUUGGUGGGGUAAUGGCCUACCAAGUCUACCAUCUAUAGCUGGUUUUAGAGGACCAUCAGCAACACUGGGACUGAGACACGGCCCAGACUCCUACGGGAGGCAGCAGUGGGGAAUCUUAUACAAUGGGCGCAAGCCUGAUCUAGCCAUGCCGCGUGAGUGAUGAAGGUCUUAGGAUCGUAAAGCUCUUUCGCCAGGGAUGAUAAUGACAGUACCUGGUAAAGAAACCCCGGCUAACUCCGUGCCAGCAGCCGCGGUAAUACGGAGGGGGUUAGCGUUGUUCGGAAUUACUGGGCGUAAAGCGCACGUAGGCGGAUCAGAAAGUAUAGGGUGAAACCCAGAGGCUCACCCUCGGAACUGCCUCUAAAACUCCUGGUCUUGAGUUAGAGAGAGGUGAGUGGAAUUCCAAGUGUAGAGGUGAAAUUCGUAGAUAUUUGGAGGAACACCAGUGGCGAAGGCGGCUCACUGGCUCGAUACUGACGCUGAGGUCCGAAAGUGUGGGGAGCAACAGGAUUACAUACCCUGGUAGUCCACACCGUAAACGAUGAAUGCCAGACGUCGGGCAGUAUACUGUUCGGUGUCACACCUAACGGAUUAAGCAUUCCGCCUGG